GCGCGAGAAGGGUAAUUCUGCACAACUGGAGUGGCUGCACUCUCAGGACCGCAUUUUUAGGACCGCAUCUUUAGGACCCUAGUUUUUUGUGACAGCGUCACCUGUCGGAUUGGAUCAUGGAUGUGCUAAUGGACGACACGGAUGACAAGGAAAGUGCCAUCGUACAUCCUCUGGGUGUCUUGAGGAGCUGGUCUUUGGAUGAUGCUGAGCAGGUCUUUCUUUCUGGUAAAGAUUAUCAUUACAGUGAAGUAAAAGAAUUUAACAGACAGAUUUACAAACAACUGACGAAAGAAGGGAGACCAUUCAAUAGGUGGGUAUUGCUCUUAUAUACUUAAAAAUAUGGAGUUGGGAGUAGUUUCCUGUUUGGUUCUCCCAACAGUGCAUACGCUUAAGCCAGAAAUAUAUAUAUAUAUA